ACGCGACGAAGUCGAUUUCCUUGAGCUGCUACUGCUGUGGCUGCAAUUAGAAGGACAACCACCAGGAUCUCUGCACAUCUCUGGUGCUCUCAGCCAUUUGUAAAUUCCCUUUCUUUGACUCGCGGGCUAAAUGAUUUGGGCAAAUGAGAGGUCUAUUUCGUUCCCGCUGGCCUUAGUCGACAUUGACUACUACCGUAACAAACCUUUCGACCACCUCGUGUCGGCUCCGCUCCUAUGAACAUUGCCAUGGUGAUUCCUGGCUAGUGGAACGCUCAUCUAGCCAGCCACUCAUUGUGUCUAAUUCGAUUACAUACAUCGCGUAUGGAAAGACGACACAGGACGUAAACGAGGAUGUCGACGUAGAGAGACGUCGUGCAAAAAGUGGCAUAUGUGCAAUAUACGAUCGACUGGGCUUUUUUAGGGUACCCAAUGAUCAUAAUGAUACAGCCUUGACCAUCGCUUCUAAGGCUAGAAAAAAUCCUCCCGAACAAUUCAGGACAAUUCUCGUAAAUGGAUCCCGAUCUCUAAAAGGGAAAGAUACCGUAAUGCCAACACCGAGAGUUCGUGAUGGAGACUGCUGCUGCUGCUGCUGCUGUGUGACAUGCAGAGGCUACGUACAUAAUACAGUGGAAGGUAGACCACCUGAAGG